rnacentral:tRNA from 2 species
GCGCCCGUAGCUCAAUGGAUAGAGCAUCGGACUUCGGAUCCGAGGGUUAGAGGUUCGACCCCUCUCGGGCGCG